UACGAAGGGGGCUAGCGUUGCUCGGAAUUACUGGGCGUAAAGCGCACGUAGGCGGUUUCUUAAGUCGGGGGUGAAAUCCUGGAGCUCAACUCCAGAACUGCCUUCGAUACUGGGAAACUUGAGUUCGGGAGAGGUGAGUGGAACUGCGAGUGUAGAGGUGAAAUUCGUAGAUAUUAGCAAGAACACCAGUGGCGAAGGCGGCUCACUGGCCCGAUACUGACGCUGAGGUGCGAAAGCGUGGGGAGCAAACAGG
rnacentral:rRNA from 1 species